rnacentral:rRNA from 1 species
GCCCUACACUAGAGGACAACAGUUGGAAACGACUGCUAAUACUCUAUACUCCUCUUUAACAUAAGUUAGAUAGGGAAAGUUUUUCGGUGUAGGAUGAGGCUAUAUUGUAUCAGCUAGUUGGUGAGGUAAUGGCUCACCAAGGCUAUGACGCAUAACUGGUCUGAGAGGAUGAUCAGUCACACUGGAACUGAGACACGGUCCAGACUCCUACGGGAGGCAGCAGUAGGGAAUAUUGCUCAAUGGGGGAAACCCUGAAGCAGCAACGCCGCGUGGAGGAUGACACUUUUCGGAGCGUAAACUCCUUUUGUUAGGGAAGAACAAUGACGGUACCUAACGAAUAAGCACCGGCUAACUCCGUGCCAGCAGCCGCGGUAAUACGGAGGGUGCAAGCGUUACUCGGAAUCACUGGGCGUAAAGGACGCGUAGGCGGAUUAUCAAGUCUCUUGUGAAAUCCUAUGGCUUAACCAUAGAACUGCUUGGGAAACUGAUAAUCUAGAGUGAGGGAGAGGCAGAUGGAAUUGGUGGUGUAGGGGUAAAAUCCGUAGAGAUCACCAGGAAUACCCAUUGCGAAGGCGAUCUGCUGGAACUCAACUGACGCUAAUGCGUGAAAGCGUGGGGAGCAAACAGGAUUAGAUACCCUGGUAGUCCACGCCCUAAACGAUGUAUACUAGUUGUUGCUAAGCUAGUCUUGGCAGUAAUGCACCUAACGGAUUAAGUAUACCGCCUGGGGAGUACGGUCGCAAGAUUAAAACUCAAAGGAAUAGACGGGGACCCGCACAAGCGGUGGAGCAUGUGGUUUAAUUCGAAGAUACGCGAAGAACCUUACCCGGACUUGAUAUCUAACAAAUCAUCUAGAGAUAGAAGAGUGUCUGCUCGCAGAAAUGUUAAGACAGGUGCUGCACGGCUGUCGUCAGCUCGUGUCGUGAGAUGUUGGGUUAAGUCCCGCAACGAGCGCAACCCACGUCAUUAGUUGCUAACAGUUCGGCUGAGCACUCUAAUGAGACUGCCUUCGUAAGGAGGAGGAAGGUGUGGACGACGUCAAGUCAUCAUGGCCCUUAUGUCCGGGGCGACACACGUGCUACAAUGGCAUAUACAAUGAGAAGCAAUAUCGCGAGAUGGAGCAAAUCUAUAAAAUAUGUCCCAGU